rnacentral:lncRNA from 1 species
GAAGAGGACCAAGCGUGGGAGGAAGCUAAAUUUCCAAACUCUUUACUGGUGGUUGGAUUUUAAAAAUGGAGUGCUCAAGUGCUUACAGAGAUUCAAACGUGCCGUCCAUUUGGACUUAUUCUCAUGGCAGCGUAAUAUGUUAUUGAUUAGUGGAGAGUCCAGAACGUGUGAUGCUCUUUGUAACUGCAGGCUGGUGGAUGACUUCUACGCAAAAUGACGACCAGAAUCAAAAGGUUUCUGAGAAGUAUUAAGACUGAAAACAAAAACCGUCCUACUGAACUGAAGAAAACAAAGCCGGUGAAUCCCAACUUGCGGGAAUCAAAGAGACCUUCCAGCUCCAGGCAGACCUCAUCCCAACUCCAGAGAAGACCACACUUCAGCUCUUGUCCAUAGGAGAAUCUCAACUAGAGAUGCCUAGAAGAAUGAGAAUCCACCUUGGACCUAUCACUUCAGAAAUGCUGAUUACACUACACUCAUCAGAAUCCAUGUAGAUGACUCAAAUUGUGCUACGGCACCCUCGUCUCAAAGUGAGACCAAAGACUCUCGGUCCUCAAUGAGCGAGCAGAGCAUACCAAGAAACACCAGCUGUGAAUACAGGCCUUCUGGAAUUCAGAGAACUACACCGUUUACAAAAGCGAGAUACCUCUAUGAAAUGCAAGAGUCUAAUUUUAUGGACUUCCAACUUUUUUCUGAGGAAGUUGUGAGAAGAGAGGAGAAACUGGCUGUAUCCUGAGGGAUAUGUCCGUAAUGGUGAAUAAAUGAAGACACCUGAGCAAUGGUCUGGAUUCCUGCAGUAUCCAGAGAGCAGCUCAGAAACCUUGAGAGGUGAAUGGCUGGAUCAACUGGUGGACGCUGAUUAACCUUUGACAUUGACUCCUCCAUUUCUCCCUUUUAAGGCCACAGGGCAGAUGAAUUUUCAUCUCUUGAGACUUCCUCCUCCAUAUGCUGUUUCUCCCCAGAGGCUUAAAAAUGAAGGCCUGACCUAAAGAGUUGUUUGGUGAGACGACAGAAAAUAUGACACGAUGGAGAGACCAGUCUCCUCUUCGAACUUCUACAUAUGUCCACAGUUCACACAGCUCUGGGAGCGGGAAGAGUCCAUCUGGAUGGAGAGUCAUGGAGA